AUUAGAUAAAAAACCAAUGCCCUUCAGAGCUUCUUGGUGAUUCAUAAUAACUUAUCAAAUCACAUGGCCUUGUGCUGGCAAUGGUUCAUUCAAAUUUCUGCUCUAUCAACUUUUGAUGGUAGGAUAGUGGCCUACCAUGGUGGCAACAGGUAACAGGGAAUUAGGGUUCAAUUCCAGAGAGGGAGCCUGAGAAACAGCUACCAUAUCUAAGAAAGACAGCAGGCGCGCAAAUUACCCAAUCCCAAUACAGGGAGAUAGUGACAAUAAAUACUGAUACAGGGCUCUUUCAGGUCUUGUAAUUGGAAUAAGUACAAUUUAAACAUCUUAACAAGAAGCAAUUGGAGGGCAAGUCUGGUGCCAGCAGCCACAGUAAUUCCAGCUCCAAUAGCGUAUAUUAAAGUUGUUGCAGUUAAAAAGCUCAUAGUUGAAUCUUGGGUCUGGCUGGCCAGUCUGCCUCACCACAUGCACUGGUCUGGCUGGAUCUUUCCUUCUGGGGAGCCCCAUGGCCCUUUAUUGGC
rnacentral:rRNA from 1 species